rnacentral:tRNA from 1 species
UCUCUUUAAAGCGGGAGAAGCCCCGGCCCCUUAUUGGGGUGCGUUUCC